rnacentral:rRNA from 1 species
AUUGAACGCUGGCGGCAGGCUUAACACAUGCAAGUCGAGCGGGGUGAUGGUGCUUGCACUAUCACUUAGCGGCGGACGGGUGAGUAAUGCUUAGGAAUCUGCCUAUUAGUGGGGGACAACAUCUCGAAAGGGAUGCUAAUACCGCAUACGUCCUACGGGAGAAAGCAGGGGAUCACUUGUGACCUUGCGCUAAUAGAUGAGCCUAAGUCGGAUUAGCUAGUUGGGGGGGUAAAGGCCUGCCAAGGCGACGAUCUGUAGCGGGUCGGAGAGGAUGAUCCGCCCCACUGGGACUGGGACACGGCCCAGACUCCUACGGGAGGCAGCAGUGGGGAAUAUUGGACAAUGGGGGGAACCCUGAUCCAGCCAUGCCGCGUGUGUGAAGAAGGCCUUAUGGUUGUAAAGCACUUUAAGCGAGGAGGAGGCUCUUUUGGUUAAUACCUAAGAUGAGUGGACGUUACUCGCAGAAUAAGCACCGGCUAACUCUGUGCCAGCCGCCGCCGUAA